UUCUUAUUAGAUAAUGGUGUCAUGUUCUGAUUAAUCAAUAAAAAUAAUAAUUCAUUUCAUCUUCCAUGGAGUUGAUAUCCAAUUAUAACAUGACAUGUGACAUUAUCAUUC
rnacentral:pre_miRNA from 1 species